AAAGCUUGAAUAAGGCUGAUGUUCUUUGAGAUUUGUGACACCGAUUUUUCCAGUUGAAGGUAGAUGUCUGAAUCUGUGCUUAAUUUAUUAUACUCUCAAUUUUGAAUUUCUUGUAUUAUUAUUCAUGUUAGUUUGCUUUGUUUGAAGAUUAUACAAUUUAUUAAUGAACACAAAUUUCCAUGGCAAAUUGGCACUGUUGUUUGAACAUUAAUUUCCGUGGCUAUGGUCUCUGAUUUAAUCGUUACUGAUACUCAUUUAGCACCCUCUGAUCUCUUGGAUUUUCUUUUAAAAUUAUUUCCUGAUUUAGGAAAUUCCUUUUCCCUUUUGAUUUUCUUGGGAAAAGUAAUCAGCUGAUUGACUCCAUUGUGCUGCAUAUUCAUUGUUUAUAGUAGCUCAGGUAGAGGGAGAAAUAGCCGUUGCUAUUUAGUGGGCAAAAUUAAUUCAAGUUAGGAGAGAGGGGGAAAGUGAACUGCGAAGGGAUAUCCUAAAUCCUUUUCCCUUUUAUCCAUGACUAUUUUGAGAAAUUUCACAGUUACAUGCUCAAAUAGUAAUUUGGUGACAUUGCAAGAAAUUUGAGAACUUUAAAGAAUGUUACUAAAUAAGAAGAUAACUGGGGCACGCAAAUGAGAUUUUCAAAAUUUUAUCGUCUCUAAUGAAUCCUGUGAUUGUAGCAUGUAUAAUGAUUGUUGUGCAGGUAGUACAAUCAGAAUCUCAAACAGCUGAGAGAACCACCACACAGCAAUAUUAUGUAGAGGAUACCCAUCUAAGUCAAACUCAUUUUCAGCUAGUAAUACACCUACCUGCUGCUACAAAAUUGAAGAAAUUUUGACAAAAAAUGCUUUGGCACUAGUGCUCAAGCCUUAAGGUAAUGCAAAAUUUCAUUUUGGAUUAUGGCUCUUUAAACUUUUUUAGAUGGGUUUAUUUUUGCUUUCAUUGGUCAUUAGAAUAUCCAAGUAAAAGGGAAUUCUGAAAUUCAAUUCGGUUUCAAUGUGAAUCAUGGUUUGUAUCUUUGUCAUAUUAACUUUGAAUAUUCAUGAGUGUGUUUCUGAUUGGAUUUUCGCCUAGGGGUUGUAACAAAAUUGGAGGAUGCUUAUUUAG
rnacentral:misc_RNA from 1 species